UACGUAGGGGCCAAGGCGUUGUCCGGAUUUAUUGGUGCGUAAAGAGCUCGUAGGCGGUUGGGUAAGUCGGGUGUGAAAACUCCAGGCUCAACUUGGAGAUGCCACCCGAUACUGCUCUGACUUGAGUUCGGUAGGGGAGUGGGGAAUUCCUGGUGUAGCGGUGAAAUGCGUAGAGAUCCGGAAGAACACCGGUGGCGAAGGCGGCCUGCUGGGCAGUGCUGACGCUGAUGCGCGACAGCGUGGGGAGCAAAGCAGGA
rnacentral:rRNA from 1 species